rnacentral:rRNA from 1 species
UAAGGAAUAUUGGUCAAUGGACGCAAGUCUGAACCAGCCAUGCCGCGUGAAGGAUGAAGGUCCUCUGGAUUGUAAACUUCUUUUAUCUGGGACGAAAACGGGAUUUUUAUCUCAAUUGACGGUACCAGAGGAAUAAGCACCGGCUAACUCCGUGCCAGCAGCCGCGGUAAUACGGAGGGUGCGAGCGUUAUCCGGAUUUACUGGGUUUAAAGGGUGCGUAGGUGGGCUUAUAAGUCAGUGGUGAAAUCUCCGAGCUUAACUUGGAAACUGCCGUAGAUGCUAUGGGUCUUGAAUUAUCUGGAGGUAAGCGGAAUAUGUCAUGUAGCGGUGAAAUGCUUAGAUAUGACACAGAACACCAAUUGCGAAGGCAGCUUACUACAUAUAAAUUGACGCUGAGGCACGAAAGCGUGGGGAUCAAACA